UAAGUUAAUAAGGGCGCACGGUGGAUGCCUUGGCACUAGGAGCCGACGAAGGACGUGACAAACGACGAUAUGCCUUGGGUAGCUGUAAGUAAGCGAUGAUCCAGGGAUUUCCGAAUGGGGGAACCCAACAGGUAAUACCUGUUACCUACAUCUGUUAAGGAUGUGAGGAGGAAGACGCAGUGAACUGAAACAUCUAAGUAGCUGCAGGAAGAGAAAGCAAAAGCGAUUGCCUUAGUAGCGGCGAGCGAAACGGCAGAAGGGCAAACCGAAGAGUUUACUCUUCGGGGUUGUAGGACUGCAAUGUGGACUCAAAGAUUAUAGAAGAAUGAUUUGGGAAGAUCAGCCAAAGAGAGUAAUAGCCUCGUAUUUAAAAUAGUCUUUGUACUUAGCAGUAUCCUGAGUACGGCGGGACACGUGAAAUCCCGUCGGAAUCUGGGAGGACCAUCUCCCAACCCUAAAUACUCCCUAGUGACCGAUAGUGAACCAGUACCGUGAGGGAAAGGUGAAAAGCACCCCGGGGGGGGAGUGAAAUAGAACCUGAAACCGUGUGCCUACAACAAGUUCGAGCCCGUUAAUGGGUGAGAGCGUGCCUUUUGUAGAAUGAACCGGCGAGUUACGUUAUGAUGCGAGGUUAAGUUGAAGAGACGGAGCCGUAGGGAAACCGAGUCUGAAUAGGGCGCCUUAGUAUCAUGACGUAGACCCGAAACCAUGUGACCUACCCAUGAGCAGGUUGAAGGUGCGGUAAGACGCACUGGAGGACCGAACCAGGGCACGUUGAAAAGUGCUUGGAUGACUUGUGGGUAGCGGAGAAAUUCCAAACGAACUUGGAGAUAGCUGGUUCUCUCCGAAAUAGCUUUAGGGCUAGCGUCGACAUUAGAGAUUCUUGGAGGUAGAGCACUGUUUGGGUGAGGGGUCCAUCCCGGAUUACCAAUCUCAGAUAAACUCCGAAUGCCAAUGAAUUAUGGUCGGCAGUCAGACUGCGAGUGCUAAGAUCCGUAGUCGAAAGGGAAACAGCCCAGACCACCAGCUAAGGUCCCAAAAUAAUUGUUAAGUGGAAAAGGAUGUGGGGUUGCACAGACAACUAGGAUGUUAGCUUAGAAGCAGCUAUUCAUUCAAAGAGUGCGUAAUAGCUCACUAGUCGAGUGACCCUGCGCCGAAAAUGUACCGGGGCUAAAACAAUUUACCGAAGCUGUGGAUACCUUUAUAGGUAUGGUAGGAGAGCGUUCUAUGUGUGAUGAAGGUAUACCGUGAGGAGUGCUGGAACGCAUAGAAGUGAGAAUGCCGGUAUGAGUAGCGAAAGACAGGUGAGAAUCCUGUCCACCGUAAGACUAAGGUUUCCAGGGGAAGGCUCGUCCGCCCUGGGUUAGUCGGGACCUAAGGAGAGACCGAAAGGUGUAUCCGAUGGACAACAGGUUGAUAUUCCUGUACUAGAGUAUGUAGUGAUGGAGGGACGCAGUAGGCUAACUAAAGCAGACGAUUGGAAGAGUCUGUCUAAGCAGUGAGGUGUGAAUUGAGUCAAAUGCUUAAUUCUAUAACAUUGAGCUGUGAUGGGGAGCGAAGUUUAGUAGCGAAGUUAGUGACGUCACACUGCCAAGAAAAGCUUCUAGCGUUUAAACAUACUCUACCCGUACCGCAAACCGACACAGGUAGUCGAGGCGAGUAGCCUCAGGUGAGCGAGAGAACUCUCGUUAAGGAACUCGGCAAAAUGACCCCGUAACUUCGGGAGAAGGGGUGCUGACUUAAAGUCAGCCGCAGUGAAUAGGCCCAAGCAACUGUUUAUCAAAAACACAGCUCUCUGCUAAAUCGUAAGAUGAUGUAUAGGGGGUGACGCCUGCCCGGUGCUGGAAGGUUAAGAGGAGUGCUUAGCGUAAGCGAAGGUAUGAAUUGAAGCCCCAGUAAACGGCGGCCGUAACUAUAACGGUCCUAAGGUAGCGAAAUUCCUUGUCGGGUAAGUUCCGACCCGCACGAAAGGCGUAAUGAUUUGGGCACUGUCUCAACGAGAGACUCGGUGAAAUUUUAGUACCUGUGAAGAUGCAGGUUACCCGCGACAGGACGGAAAGACCCCAUGGAGCUUUACUGCAGUUUGAUAUUGAGUGUCUGUACCACAUGUACAGGAUAGGUAGGAGUCUAAGAGAUCGGGACGCCAGUUUCGAAGGAGACGCUGUUGGGAUACUACCCUUGUGUUAUGGCCACUCUAACCCAGAUAGGUGAUCCCUAUCGGAGACAGUGUCUGACGGGCAGUUUGACUGGGGCGGUCGCCUCCUAAAAGGUAACGGAGGCGCCCAAAGGUUCCCUCAGAAUGGUUGGAAAUCAUUCGCAGAGUGUAAAGGUAUAAGGGAGCUUGACUGCGAGAGCUACAACUCGAGCAGGGACGAAAGUCGGGCUUAGUGAUCCGGUGGUUCCGUAUGGAAGGGCCAUCGCUCAACGGAUAAAAGCUACCCUGGGGAUAACAGGCUUAUCUCCCCCAAGAGUUCACAUCGACGGGGAGGUUUGGCACCUCGAUGUCGGCUCGUCGCAUCCUGGGGCUGUAGUCGGUCCCAAGGGUUGGGCUGUUCGCCCAUUAAAGCGGCACGCGAGCUGGGUUCAGAACGUCGUGAGACAGUUCGGUCCCUAUCCGUCGCGGGCGUAGGAAAUUUGAGAGGAUCUGCUCCUAGUACGAGAGGACCAGAGUGGACUUACCGCUGGUGUACCAGUUGUCUUGCCAAAGGCAUCGCUGGGUAGCUAUGUAGGGAAGGGAUAAACGCUGAAAGCAUCUAAGUGUGAAACCCACCUCAAGAUGAGAUUUCCCAUGAUUAUAUAUCAGUAAGAGCCCUGAGAGAUGAUCAGGUAGAUAGGUUAGAAGUGGAAGUGUGGCGACACAUGUAGCGGACUAAUACUAAUAGCUCGAGGACUUAUCCA
rnacentral:rRNA from 1 species